ensembl:lncRNA
GGACAUGAAACCGUUCACAGAUGUGUCUGCACAUGUAGGAAACACCAUCUACAGGCUGUAUUUUGGUCAUGGAGGUCACUGCCCUGCAGAAACUGGUUUACCUCAAAGCUUUGAUUAAAAACAACCUGGUGGAGAUGUUGAUGUGCUUGAGCUCCAGGACACAAACUGGUCUCACAUUCUUCUUCAGGAUUUUCUGGUGGAGAGCAGAAUUCAUGGCUCCAUUAAUUGUAUCAGGUUGUCCAGGUCCGGAGGCAGCAAAGCAGCCAAACACCAACACACUAUCACCACCAUGUUUGGCUGUUAGCAUGAUGUAGCAGGACUGAGACCUUGAUUCUGACUGAGGAAGGUGAGGCCAGGUGUUCUGGGUUCUUUUUCUAACCUGAUGAGUCUGCAGACAAGUUAUUUAAGUGAUUUCUUAAUUGUUUUGUUUUAGAUGGAUGUUUUACUUUUGAUUUCAACCUUCUGAAUGGUUCCCCAGGGAAAUCAUGUUUGGCAGGAAUUCAUUAAAAUGUUGAAAUGGCAGAGAUCCAGUAUUUUAUUGGCUGAACUUUGGAUCAUUAAUCACAAGCAUUAAUUAUUUAUAAAAUAUUUGUUAUAUAUAUAUAUUGGUUAUUAGAUAUUAGUGUGUUUUAUUAACAGCUAAAAUACACACAAAGCUUUUUUGAGAAUGUAUACGGUGUGGUCACAUAUGCCAUAAGGGUGUGUUUGUUAUAAGUAGGCUAACUUUGUAUUCGUGGUUGAAACAGGUCCCCCACCUCUGUGUGUUCUGUCUCAUCAGGCCAUUUAAACUUGUUUGCGGUGUGCCGUUUAAAGGGCCAUGUGAUGUCACCACAGAUAAGGCGCUGUAGUGUCGGGGAAAUUCUAGCACUCUCCUGAUUGGCUGAGCAGCAACUUGUUUUUUUUAAUAAAUGCACUUGACGACAGUGUAGCCAAUGAGAGGAGAGUGGCUGAGAACCUGAUGUUCCAGCUGUCUGUGUCCUUACACACACACACAAGCUGUUUGUGUUUCACUUCCCCUUUGUUGCUGGUCUGAUGCUGAAAGUUAUGUUUGCUUCGUGAACUUAAAAGUAAAAGCAUGAAAUCGUUUACUUGAAACUGCUGCUUUCCCAGAUACAUUUCUGCGCCUUUAAAGGGCACUAGAUUUAUACAGGAAGUCAUUGAAAUGAAAUGAAUCUACAUGCUGACAUAAUAACAAACAAUAACAUGUACGUGCACAGAAGGCCUCUAAUGUAAAGUGUUUUUGCUUUUUUUUGUUGCUAAUGUCGAAUGAGGUUUUCAGAAAAAUAAGUUCAGAACUCUUUUUGCAAAUGUUGCAUCCAGCAGCAAAGAGGCCAAAGGUCAGCGCUGUUUUUGUUGCUCACUGCUGCAAGCGUCACUAGAAGGAAUUUCUGAUUCAUUGCUUCAUGUCUUAAGCAGUUAAGAUUUGCUAACCUCUGCAAAGUCAACACAGCCAUUAGUUUUCUUUUGGACUUAACUGUGCAUGUGGAUAGCAUUAUAGAUGUGCAUCGUGUCCAACGGGAGAGCAUUGUCACUGCAUUCACAUUUAAACAAACAACUUUCCAUGUGCAAAGUCUAAACAGAAGUGAUGGUUAGAAUGUAAACAAGCUAAACAACACACACACACACACACACACACACACACACACACACACACACACACACACACAUGCCCAAGUACAUAUACACAUACAAGUCAGGGAAAGCAAAUACAUGCAGGAAGGCAUCCCACGCCAAAAGAGAACACUCGCACCCACGUGCCUUGUCACAUGGUUCGACACACACAUCCUCC